rnacentral:rRNA from 1 species
AGAGUUUGAUCAUGGCUCAGGAUGAACGCUAGCGGCAGGCUUAAUACAUGCAAGUCGAGGGGCAGCAUGUCCCGUAGCAAUACGGGAUGAUGGCGACCGGCAAACGGGUGCGGAACACGUACACAACCUUCCUUUAAGUGGGGAAUAGCCCAGAGAAAUUUGGAUUAAUACCCCGUAACAUUAUGAUGUGGCAUCACAUUAUAAUUAUAGCCCCGGCGCUUAAUGAUGGGUGUGCGGCUGAUUAGGUAGUUGGCGGGGUAAUGGCCCACCAAGCCUACGAUCAGUAACUGGUGUGAGAGCACGACCAGUCACACGGGCACUGAGACACGGGCCCGACUCCUACGGGAGGCAGCAGUAAGGAAUAUUGGGCAAUGGAGGCAACUCUGACCCAGCCAUGCCGCGUGGAGGAUGAAGGUCCUCUGGAUUGUAAACUUCUUUUAUAUGGGACGAAAAAGGGCCUUUCCAGGUCAACUGACGGUACCAUAUGAAUAAGCACCGGCUAACUCCGUGCCAGCAGCCGCGGUA